rnacentral:ncRNA from 2 species
AACAAUAUCCUGGUGCUGAGUGAGU